GACGAACGCUGGCGGCGUGCUUAACACAUGCAAGUCGAACGGAAAGGCCCUGCUUUUGUGGGGUGCUCGAGUGGCGAACGGGUGAGUAACACGUGAGUAACCUGCCCUUGACUUUGGGAUAACUUCAGGAAACUGGGGCUAAUACCGGAUAGGAGCUCCUGCUGCAUGGUGGGGGUUGGAAAGUUUCGGCGGUUGGGGAUGGACUCGCGGCUUAUCAGCUUGUUGGUGGGGUAGUGGCUUACCAAGGCUUUGACGGGUAGCCGGCCUGAGAGGGUGACCGGCGACAGUGGGACUGAGAUACGGCCCAGACUCCUACGGGAGGCAGAAGGGGGGAAUAGUGAACAAUGGGCGGAAGCCGGAGGCAGCAACGCCGCGUGAGGGAGGACGGCCUUCGGGUUGUAAAACGCUGUCGCCUGUGACGAAGCGGGAGUGACGGUAAUGGGUAAAGAAGCACCGGCUAAAUACGUG
rnacentral:rRNA from 1 species